CUGCCUACGGGAGGCAGCAGUCGGGAAUAUUGCGCAAUGGAGGAAACUCUGACGCAGUGACGCCGCGUAUAGGAAGAAGUAUUUCGGUAUGUAAACUUCUAUCAGCAGGGAAGAAAAUGACGGUACCUGACUAAGAAGCCCCGGCUAACUACGUGCCAGCAGCCGCGGUAAUACGUAGGGGGCAAGCGUUAUCCGGAUUUACUGGGUGUAAAGGGAGCGUAGGCGGUGCAGCAAGUCAGAAGUGAAAGCCCGGGGCUCAACUCCGGGACUGCUUUUGAAACUGUUGAACUAGAUUGCAGGAGAGG
rnacentral:rRNA from 1 species